UCCGUAGGUAGAUAAUUAAGUCAGAGGUGAAAUCCUGCAGCUCAACUGUAGAAUUGCCUUUGAUACUGGUUAUCUUGAGUCAUUAUGAAGUGGUUAGAAUGUGUAGUGUAGCGGUGAAAUGCAUAGAUAUUACACAGAAUACCGAUUGCGAAGGCAGAUCACUAAUAAUGUACUGACACUGAGGGACGAAAGCGUGGGGAGCGAACAGGAUUAGAUACCCUGGUAGUCC
rnacentral:rRNA from 1 species